GGCCAGAUAAGGCGUUCACGCCGCAUCUGGCAUUUGGCUCUCGAUGCCUGAUGCGACGCUGGCGCGUCUUAUCAUGCC
rfam:Trichuris trichiura, WGS project CBXK01000000 data, contig: TTRE_1042